UAAGGUUCCUGAAGGGUUGUUGGAGACUACGACGUAGAUAGGCAGGGUGUGUAAGCGUUGUGAGGCGUUGAGCUAACCUGUACUAAUUGCCCGUGAGGCUUAACCAUACAACACCCAAGGGGUUUUAG
rnacentral:rRNA from 1 species